GCUAGGAAUACUGGGCACAGUUGUCAAAUUUUUUAAUAAAACUUAAAUUAAAUUUAGCUUCAACCAAAAAAAAUUUUAUUUAAACAUAAUAAUACCGUCUGUAUUAAUACCCCAUCUAUAAUAGAGAUUGGUGAAACAGACGAAGCAAUAGAAGGCAGAAGUACAGAAAACAAACCUUGUACAAUAGAGGAAGGGGAUCAAUUAAAGACACAUUCUGAUGAAGAAUUAGCCCCAAACGUUAACAAAGACGAAAAAUACUUAAACGAUUUGACAAUACCUGCGGUUCUGACAUCCGAAUCGUCUGAACAACAUUUUUUUGAAUGAAGUUGAAGCUGAAGGCGCAGCCAAAUGGGCAUACAUAAAAGACAUUGCACAUGCAGUCCUAGAAUUUGAUGGAAAUAAAAUUUACCCGCAACGAUUCAUAACAGCAAUUAACUAGAUAACCUAACAAUGACAUAACUAUGAAUCGUUCGCUGUAGAGCUGAUUAAAUCAAAAAUAAGUGCAUCAACCUUACACAAAAUGCAAGUAAGCAAGCGUGUGGAGCAGUUUAAACU